ACCUCAGCCACUCCUGAAAUAGUUUUGGUUUAUUUUCAGUCAAGCUUGUUUUCUGCUUUAGACUCCACCUUCGUCUCUAAAUCUUUCACUCGAUGAUUUCUCACCCAACCUUUAUUUGUCCACUCAAUGCCAAGUUAUUUUAGCCUAGUGAACUAGACCAAAUUUUUAUAGUCUGGCUUGCCAGGCUAAAGUUAUUUGUCACCAUUUUGUUAUUUCCUUCAGGACAAUCGUUGUAGUUGGUGCUAGGCUGCAUGGGGGCGCAGGUGUAAGUGUUACAACAGCAGCAGCAAAGGUCCGGGAGCACCUGUCUGUGGAGCCGUGGUUCCCACAGUCAGUGCAGAUCCAAGUACUACCACAGCUUGUGUUGCUGUAGCUGACAAACCUGACAGAAGAAGCUACAAUGGUGUUCUGCUGAGCUGUGGUAGCCUCAUGGAGGGGUCCAUCGUCUUGAACACUGUUGCUAACCACUUAAACCAGGGGUUCUCAAUCAUAAUGGUCCGAGGGCCACUCACAAAAAAGACCUAGAAGUGCGUCGGCCUCGCCCUGGCCACGCGCCGUGUGCCGAGGGCCACUUACAAAAAAGACCCAGAACCCGGCUGUGUGACUGCACUGACCUGUUCUGUGGGACCCUCACCAUGUAACCCUCAUGUCCAUGCUGUCUCUGGAGGAGCAGAUAGGAGACAACAUCUCCUGUAACUUAAAAUGAACCAAAGCUUCCUCCUAGUUUCUCAGACAUCAGUUUAUCAUCAUGAAACAAAAGAAUAAAGUGGAACAAGAACUUCUAUCUUCUAUCUCUCUCUCCUUUUAACUUCUCUGUGUCCCUAAAUAAAAGACAGAUGAUUACGCUGCAGCCGCCGUCACUCACCUCGCUCCCUCCCCAAGACCGGACCUCCCGACAUCACAGCACUCGGUCUGACUGAGCGCUUCCAGGAGAAAUAAUGAUGAAAUUAUGAAAAUAAUUAUGCGUGUUUGGAGGAGCGUCUUUAGAUCCUCUCUCUCUCUCUCUCUCUCUCUCUCUCUCUCUCUCUCUCUCUCUCUCUCCCAGUCGCUGAUUGAGCGAGCGGCAACACGCUCAAUUAACAUAAGUCACGGCCUAAAUCCAACAGAACCGAUCGGGCUGAUUCGGUUCGGGUUCGGUCUCAGGUCCAGCGCUCAGCCCUGCAGUACCACAUAAAGGUGGACCAAAGUUUCCUACCCGGUAAAUGUGGAGAACACCUGCUCUGACAGAUGUGGAUGCUGCGCUGGUGCCGCCGUUAAAAUAACAAAACUACAUUCCACCAUAAAUGAUUAUGGUACUCUUCUAUGAUGCAGAAUCGUUUAUGCCCACAUCUCAUGCAUUGAUUAUUUGAUUAUU